GUUUUCUCAACGAAGAAUCGCUGAAUCUUCGUCACUCAUCCUUCUGUAAUGCGAUCAACAAAGCCACCGGAACUUUCCGUCACCGGUUUAUCGGAUAAUAUCCAGGGAGGUGUUUUCCGCGCUGUGAAACGAGCUAUUGUGAUCGGAAACGGCUGCGCCGGCGCGGAGAAUCAGUGCAUCGGCCUUAUUCGCUCCUUAGGCCUCGUCGAUCGCCACCUCUAUUAUAGUGUCGCUAGGCCAAGACGAGGAAUCAAUAGGUGGCUUCAAUGGCUUCCUAUCUCUCUCUUCAUAAGACUAGACCGUUUCAUCAGCUUUAUCUGUGCCGGGUUCUCCAUUAGAGCAAAGAUGUCCGUUUUCUCCAUAGGCGGAUUACCUGGAAUCACGGAUGUGUUUGAGGUAGCUGAUGCGAAGCAGAUUGCUGCUUUGGCUCGUAGUACGUUUGCCAAGAAUGGCCCAUUGUUAGUGGUGGCAUCUGGCCGUGAUACUAUUUCCGUCGCAAGCUCCAUAAGACGAUUAGCUAUGGAGUAUGUUUUUGUUGUUCAGGUGCAACAUCCAAGGUCGCGUCUCGAGAGAUUUGAUCUAGUGAUCACUCCUCGUCAUGAUUACUAUUCCUUAACACCUGAGGGGAAGAGGCAAAUUCCUUUCUUUCUCAGGCCGUGGGUAACUCCACGUGAACCUCCAGGUAGAAAUGUGCUCCUCACUACUGGCGCGCUUCAUAACGUGGACGCCUCUACUCUGAGAGUUGCUACUUUGGAGUGGAAAGACGAGUUUGCUUUGUUAUCAAAACCUUUGAUUGUAGUUAAUAUUGGAGGACCUACAAGGAACUGUUUGUAUGGUGUUGAUCUUGCUAAGAAAUUGUCUGGUAUGCUUCAAAAUAUCCUCUGGAGCUGUGGAAGCCUAAGAAUAUCUUUCUCAAGAAGAACACCGAAGAAGGUUGCAGAAAUCAUAACUAAAGAAUUGAGCUCUAACCCGAAGGUCUACAUUUGGGAUGGAAAAGACCCUAAUCCGCAUUUGGGGCAUCUAGCUUUAGCCGAUGCUUUUAUCAUAACUGCUGACUCUAUAAGUAUGUUGAGCGAGGCAUGUACUACCGGGAAACCAGUGUAUGUUGUGGGUGCUGAACGGUGUACAUGGAAAUUCUCUGACUUCCAGAAGACUCUCCACGAAAGAGGAGCUGUUCGACCUUUAACCGGAAAAGAAGAUAUGUUGGAGAAGUGGAGUUACUCUCCUCUCAACGAUAAUGCAGAAGCUGCGAAGCGUGUGAUUCAAGAUUUGGCGGCGCGUGGAUGGAAAAUUGAGGCAUGAACAACUUUUCCAGAAGUCCAGCUCAGCCAUUAAAGGCAAAGCUCCUCUCCUAGGUUUAGCCCACACUGGCUCAGGAGGUUACAAGAGAGGCCUCUCCAUUUUCGAUUUCCUGCUCCGUUUAGCAGCCAUUGUUGCUGCCUUAGCUGCUGCUGCCACAAUGGGGACUAGUGACGAGACUCUCCCUUUCUUCACUCAGUUUUUACAGUUCCAAGCUAGCUACGAUGAUCUUCCAACUUUCCAGUUCUUCGUGAUUGCUAUUGCAAUGGUCGCAGGUUACCUUGUCCUGUCUCUUCCCAUCUC